UAUGGAAGAUGAUGAAAUCAGAAAAUCUUAGGACACCUUCUGACACAGUUUUAUUCUGUGUAUGAGAAAGAUUUUUGUUUCUGAUUUUGUA